rnacentral:lncRNA from 1 species
GUCAGUCUAUUCUCUGUUAAUGAAAGAUUUCUUAACUUGGAUAUAAAGCCUACAGACCUGCAUACAUGGAGAAAGUCAGCAAGUGCUGGAAUUGCUAAGGGAAUACUCAGGGCGGAAGCGAGAUAUAUCCUGGCCUUAGGAGGGAGACUCUGGAAGCUCCCUGAGCUUGCGGCAUGGUCUGGGAGCUUGUUACAUCUGAUCUGUGAUGGAGCAGCACUGGGGACACCGAUAGCGGCUCACGGAGGAAACCACAUGGCUGUCUCAUCCCUGCUGGGAUGGAAACAGAGAUCCUCCAGCUCCAGGCGACUCUGCUCCUUCCUCAUCAGAGGAUGUGCAAGGACCACGCUUCCUUCCCUCCCCCCAAGCCCUCCUCCUCAACCUCUGUUUCUGUUGGAACAACAUCAUUCACAACAGCCAGGCUCUAGGAGAAGGCCACUUUUAAACUGAAGAAGGGAUCAUUUCUCCCCUGGACAAGCACAAGGAGGAAAAUAUUUGAUGCAACAAGGCAAUGACCCCAGUGAAAGAAGGUCACCAGAAUUUGAGCACACCUGGAACUCACAGGCAUCUUGGGGUGGUCUUGGGAUUUCAACAAGCCACGGGUUUGGCUUUAAAAUUUUAAAUUUUAAAUAAUUUUAAAUAAAUUUCAAGCUCUGGGAAGCCCCA